GACGAACGCUGGCGGCGUGCUUAACACAUGCAAGUCGAACGGAAAGGCCCUGCUUUUGUGGGGUGCUCGAGUGGCGAACGGGUGAGUAACACGUGAGUAACCUGCCCUUGACUUUGGGAUAACUUCAGGAAACUGGGUCUAAUCCCGGAUAGGAGCUCCUGCUGCAUGGUGGGGGUUGGAAAGUUUCGGCGGUUGGGGAUGGACUCGCGGCUUAUCAGCUUGUUGGUGGGGUAGUGGCUUACCAAGGCUUUGACGGGUAGCCGGCCUGAGAGGGUGACCGGACACAUUGGGACUGAGAUACGGCACAGACUACUACGGGAGGCAGCAGUGGGGAAUAGUGCACAAUGGGCGGAAGCCUGAUGCAGCAACGCCGCGUGCGGGAUGACGGCCUUCGGGUUGUAAACCGCUUUCGCCUGUGACGAAGCGUGAGUGACGGUAAUGGGUAAAGAAGCACCGGCUAACUACGUG
rnacentral:rRNA from 1 species